ACGUGGAGCAGCACUGUUUAGCCCGGGACAUCGUAAAUUUAGUAGCAUGUGAGGGACCCGAAAGAGUCGAACGCCAUGAACUUUUCGGAAAGUGGAGAUCACGGCUACUCAUGGCUGGGUUUAAGCCACAUCCUUUAAGCCCUUUUGUGAAUGCUACUAUUGAGGCACUGCUAAAGAACUACUGUGACAAGUACACACUUGAAGAAAG
rnacentral:misc_RNA from 1 species